CUCUUAUCCAGAGAGGCAGAGGGACUGGCCCGAUGAAGCCUCGGCAACCGGAAUUUUCAGGUGCCAAUUCCAGCAAAGCCGUGUGCUUUGAAAGAUGAGAG
rnacentral:ncRNA from 2 species